rnacentral:piRNA from 1 species
AAUGCUGUACUUAGUUGGUCUGU